AUGCUGCUUUUCAUCCUUCUGCCCAAGGAGAAUAAAUGUUUGUGCAAACCUUUUUUCAUGUGGCUGCCCAGAAAUGACCCGAGUGAAGCCAAGAAGUUGAACAUUAAGCAACCUCGCCCUGGUGAUGCUGCUGAAAUGAGAGUGAAGUUGAAGAAAGGCCCUUGUCCUCAGGUAUUAUUUGUAAACAGAACUUCUCCUCCCAUCCCAAGCAGCCUCUGGGGUUUCUCUCCCUCCCAGAAGCCAAGCUGUGCGCGGAGCCACGGAAGGAAGCCUUCAGAAUGCAUCCUCUGACACUGUGUGACACAGCCCAGCUGUAAAUUUUCUUGCCUGAAGAUUUGUCACUCUACAUUAUUCCUGCAGUAAACACACACA
rnacentral:lncRNA from 1 species